rnacentral:rRNA from 1 species
UGGGGAAUAUUGCACAAUGGGCGCAAGCCUGAUGCAGCCAUGCCGCGUGUAUGAAGAAGGCCUUCGGGUUGUAAAGUACUUUCAGCGGGGAGGAAGGCGAUAAGGUUAAUAACCUUGUCGAUUGACGUUACCCGCAGAAGAAGCACCGGCUAACUCCGUGCCAGCAGCCGCGGUAAUACGGAGGGUGCAAGCGUUAAUCGGAAUUACUGGGCGUAAGCGCACGCAGGCGGUCUGUCAAGUCGGAUGUGAAAUCCCCGGGCUCAACCUGGGAACUGCAUUCGAAACUGGCAGGCUAGAGUCUUGUAGAGGGGGGUAGAAUUCCAGGUGUAGCGGUGAAAUGCGUAGAGAUCUGGAGGAAUACCGGUGGCGAAGGCGGCCCCCUGGACAAAGACUGACGCUCAGGUGCGAAAGCGUGGGGAGCAAACA